GUUGGUAGAGCGGAGGACUGUAG
rnacentral:piRNA from 2 species